rnacentral:rRNA from 1 species
GUGGGGAAUAUUGGACAAUGGGCGAAAGCCUGAUCCAGCAAUGCCGCGUGAGUGAUGAAGGCCUUAGGGUUGUAAAGCUCUUUUACCAGGGAUGAUAAUGACAGUACCUGGAGAAUAAGCUCCGGCUAACUCCGUGCCAGCAGCCGCGGUAAUACGGAGGGAGCUAGCGUUGUUCGGAAUUACUGGGCGUAAAGCGCACGUAGGCGGUUACUCAAGUCAGAGGUGAAAGCCCGGGGCUCAACCCCGGAACUGCCUUUGAAACUAGGUAACUAGAAUCUUGGAGAGGUCAGUGGAAUUCCGAGUGUAGAGGUGAAAUUCGUAGAUAUUCGGAGGAACACCAGUGGCGAAGGCGGCUCACUGGCUCGGUACUGACGCUGAGGUGCGAAAGCGUGGGGAGCAAACAGGAUUAGAUACCCCAGUAGUCC